UCAGUUCCAUUUUUCGUGGGUCUUUUAGUGUUUCUGUUUUCUAUUUUUUUUUUUUUUUGUGUUUUUGUUUUCUUUGU
rnacentral:sRNA from 1 species